rnacentral:rRNA from 1 species
UAGGGAAUCUUGCGCAAUGGGCGAAAGCCUGACGCAGCCAUGCCGCGUGAAUGAUGAAGGUCUUAGGAUUGUAAAAUUCUUUCAGCGGGGACGAUAAUGACGGUACCCGCAGAAGAAGCUCCGGCUAACUUCGUGCCAGCAGCCGCGGUAAUACGAAGGGGGCUAGCGUUGCUCGGAAUUACUGGGCGUAAAGGGCGCGUAGGCGGAUGUUUAAGUCAGAGGUGAAAGCCCAGGGCUCAACCUUGGAACUGCCUUUGAUACUGAACAUCUUGAGUACGGGAGAGGUGAGUGGAACUCCGAGUGUAGAGGUGAAAUUCGUAGAUAUUCGGAAGAACACCAGUGGCGAAGGCGACUCACUGGCCCGUUACUGACGCUGAGGCGCGAAAGCGUGGGGAGCAAACAGGAUUAGAUACCCUGGUAGUCCACGCUGUAAACGAUGAGUGCUAGUUGUCGGCAUGCAUGCAUGUCGGUGACGCAGCUAACGCGUUAAGCACUCCGCCUGGGGAGUACGGUCGCAAGAUUA